AAAAUGUUUUACAGUAAUCAAUGUUUUCUCCUGUAGCUGGAGGAAGUCAGUGUUGAUUAAGCGAGACAAAAAGGGUUUCAUCAAGGAGGACUUGAAGACAAUAAAGACAGAAAAUAUAGAGAGUAAAAGAGCAGAAUCAUCUUUAGGACAAUCAUCCUCAGGUUAUGCAGAAGUGUUCACACCUGAAUGUGUUCAGCAAGAUGAUGAGGACAAACACAAGACUAAAUACAGGUAUGGAACACUUAUGUUUUUUGUAAGAAGGUAAGGUGUUGAAUUUCUGAGGUUAAAGGUGCUAUAUGUAAGUUUUUGACUCUACUAAAGCUUAAAAAUACCAUAAUAUGUUUGCAGAUAUUUAAGAAACAUGGCAAGUUAACAUACUUGUUUAUCGGA